AGAGUUUGAUCAUGGCUCAAGAACGAACGCUGGCGGUACGCUUAACACAUGCAAGUCGAACGGAGAAAGUUCCGCAAGGAUGAGUAAAGUGGCGAACGGGUGAGUAACACGUGGACAACCUGCCCUUAAGUCUGGGACAACUCUGUGAAAACAGAGCUAAUACCGGAUAACAACUAUUAUUAGGUUAAUAGUUUAAAAGAUUUAUUGCUUUGGAGGGGUCUGCGGUAUAUUAGCUAGUUGGUGGGGUAACGGCUCACCAAGGCGACGAUGUAUAGCAGGUCUGAGUGGAUGAUCUGCCACACUGGAACUUAGACACGGUCCAGACUCCUACGGGAGGCAGCAGUGGGGAAUCUUGCGCAAUGGGCGAAAGCCUGACGCAGCGAUACCGCGUGAGUGAAGAAGGCCCUUGGGCUGUAAAACUCUUUUGUUGGGGAAAAUAAUGAUGGUACCCAGCGAAUAAGCACCGGCUAACUCCGUG
rnacentral:rRNA from 1 species